AUUGAACGCUGGCGGCAUGCCUUACACAUGCAAGUCGAACGGCAGCACGGGGGCAACCCUGGUGGCGAGUGGCGAACGGGUGAGUAAUACAUCGGAACGUACCCGGAAGUGGGGGAUAACGUAGCGAAAGUUACGCUAAUACCGCAUAUUCUGUGAGCAGGAAAGAGGGGGAUCGCAAGACCUCUCGCUUUCGGAGCGGCCGAUGUCGGAUUAGCUAGUUGGUGGGGUAAAAGCCUACCAAGGCGACGAUCCGUAGCUGGUCUUAGAGGAUGAUCAGCCACACUGGGACUGAGACACGGCCCAGACUCCUACGGGAGGCAGCAGUGGGGAAUUUUGGACAAUGGGGGCAACCCUGAUCCAGCCAUGCCGCGUGAGUGAAGAAGGCCUUCGGGUUGUAAAGCUCUUUCGGACAGAAAGAAAUCGCACAGGAUAAUACCUUGUGUGGAUGACGGUACUGUCAUAAGAAGCACCGGCUAACUACGUGCCAGCCGCCGCUGUAAGAC
rnacentral:rRNA from 1 species